UAUACUUUUUUUAGAA
rnacentral:tRNA from 1 species